rnacentral:rRNA from 1 species
AACGAACGCUGGCGGCAUGCCUAACACAUGCAAGUCGAACGAGGGCUUCGGGCUUAGUGGCGCACGGGUGCGUAACGCGUGGGAAUCUGCCCUUUGGUUCGGAAUAACACCUGGAAACGGCUGCUAAUACCGGAUAAUGACGACAGUCCAAAGAUUUAUCGCCAGAGGAUGAGCCCGCGUUGGAUUAGGUAGUUGGUAGGGUAAAGGCCUACCAAGCCGACGAUCCAUAGCUGGUCUGAGAGGAUGAUCAGCCACACUGGGACUGAGACACGGCCCAGACUCCUACGGGAGGCAGCAGUGGGGAAUAUUGGACAAUGGGCGAAAGCCUGAUCCAGCAAUGCCGCGUGAGUGAUGAAGGCCUUAGGGUUGUAAAGCUCUUUUACCCGGGAUGAUAAUGACUGUACCGGGAGAAUAAGCCCCGGCUAACUCCGUG